rnacentral:lncRNA from 1 species
CACAUUUUUGUACCAUAUGAGGAGGUAGACAAAAGGACUCACAACAACAAAACCCAUAUAGAACAGAGCAGCAAAACAGCAAAACAGAACCAAGCUAAGACAGAAUUCAUCUAAUCUAUACUUAAUCCACAACUUCCAGCAUGCAAUCGGAAUGGUAACAGAGCAUAUGAGACUGCAAAUUGUGAUUGUUUGAUGACAAAUUGCCAUGAAAUUGAAGCCAUAUUUUCUCACAAGCAUGAAUGAGUCUAUUUGAUCAAAAUGGCAUCAAUCCAUAACCAAACCAACCUCAAGUUGGAAUCAAAUGCACAUCCAAUCAUGGGAUAUCAAAACAUGGUCAGUAUCUGGUAUAUG